rnacentral:rRNA from 1 species
AUGAACGCUAGCGGCAGGCCUAAACACAUGCAAGUCGAGCGGUAGAAAGGGUGCUUGCAUCUCUUGAGAGCGGCGGACGGGUGAGUAAUGGCCUAGGAAUCUGCCUAGUGGUGGGGGGAUAACGUUCGGAAACGGACGCUAAUACCGCAUACGUCCUACGGGAGAAAGCGGGGGAUCUUCGGACCUCGCGCCAUUAGAUGAGCCUAGGUCGGAUUAGCUAGUUGGUGAGGUAAUGGCUCACCAAGGCGACGAUCCGUAACUGGUCUGAGAGGAUGAUCAGCCACACUGGGACUGAGACACGGCCCAGACUCCUACGGGAGGCAGCAGUGGGGAAUUUUGGACAAUGGGCGCAAGCCUGAUCCAGCCAUGCCGCGUGUGUGAAGAAGGCCUUCGGGUUGUAAAGCACUUUCAGCGAGGAGGAAGGGUUAGUAGUUAAUAGCUGCUAAUUUUGACGUUACUCGCAGAAGAAGCACCGGCUAACUACGUG